AUGGUCGCGGGGCGGAUUCACCUACGCGCCUCUUAUCACGCGGCGGACACGCACCCUCGUACGCACCCGCGCAUCCACGCGCGUAAUCACACCGUAUCCGCCCGCCCGCCCGCUCGCCUGCCUGCUCGUUCGUUCGCUCGCCCAGGUACGCGCGGAGUGUGGUGUGCCGCGCAGCACGCGAGUGUGCCCUCCCUAUUUUUCCAUCCCCGUGAGUUUCUCGCGAUUUUCGCAGUGCGCUCCCCGCGUGCGUCCCGCGUCAGCGCGCUCGCCGUCGUCCGGAAGCCUCUCGCCGACUUUUCCCGUUUCGUCGAACGCUGAAGACGGGGGUUGCCACCCCCUGAUUAAUCUGCGUUUCGCGGGGAAAGGAGGGAGGGAGGGAGGAAGGGAGAGAUACGCGUGUCGGGAUCACGUUUCCUCGAGGCGACAUGCGAACUCUCGCCGCGUUCGGCGCGCCGCGCCGCACUUUCACGCGAUGCCCUCGUUAAUCAACCUCGCGACGCGCCGCGCCGCGCGCGUGCCCUCGUAAAAGGGUUACCUUCGUGCGGGGGUUGUUACGCACGGGGAGGUGAGUGAACAAUGGAACAAUGCCGACGUCGUCCUGCGAUAGCUCACGUGAAAAUACGGGAGUCGACUCGCGCGUGUGUGAAUCGAAACUUUUUUGAAAACGUUUCACCGCGUGCUCAAAUAGACAAGAUACACGUUACGAUAGUCAAAUGUGCCACGUGAGGAAAAAGCGGCUGUCCCUUUAUUAUGCAUAUUGCUCGGGGAUAACGCGAGAUCUACGUGUUCCUCGCUGCGGAUGCUGUCUGCGAAUCGUGAGAGGAAGGAUCAGGCCUAACAGGAGUAGGAGUGCAGCGAUGGCUUCCAACAGCACGAAACUUUUUCGAGGUCGCAGAAAAAAGAGGGAAAGGAAGAUUAACCUA